GACAAUGUGGUGUAGUGGUUUGAGCAUUGGACUAUGACUCUGGAGACCAGGGUUCAAUUCCACACUUAGCCA
rnacentral:tRNA from 1 species